AUAAGUCCGUUGUUAAAGACUAGGGCUUAACCCUAGGAAAGCGAUGGAAACUGAUAGACUUGAGUAUGGCAGGGGUAGAGGGAAUUUCUAGUGUAGCGGUGAAAUGCGUAGAUAUUAGAAAGAACACCGGUGGCGAAAGCGCUCUACUGGACCAUUACUGACACUGAGAGGCGAAAGCUAGGGGAGCGAAAGGGAUUAGAUACCCCUGUAGUCCUAGCCGUAAACGAUGGAUACUAGAUGUUGUGCAAUUUGGACAGUAUCGUAGCUAACGCGUUAAGUAUCCCGCCUGGGGAGUACGCUCGCAAGGGUGAAACUCAAAGGAAUUGACGGGGGCCCGCACAAGCGGUGGAGCAUGUGGUUUAAUUCGAUGCAACGCGAAGAACCUUACCAGGGCUUGACAUACUACAGAUCUUUUUGAGAAAGAAGAGUGCCUUCGGGAAUGUAGAUACAGGUGGUGCAUGGCUGUCGUCAGCUCGUGUCGUGAGAUGUUGGGUUAAGUCCCGCAACGAGCGCAACCCUCGUUUUUAGUUGC
rnacentral:rRNA from 1 species